UCGGAAAGAAAAAUGCAUCGCUCUAGGGAUCCAAACGAGGCAUUGAUACAAGCAGGAUGCGGCGGCGCCGGCGCCGGCGGUCGUCGUUGAUGCAGCCGAGGCGUCGAUCCAGUCCAGCGGAGGCGCGGUUGGGGAUCAAGCUUGCGAGGGGAUCCGGCGCGGGAGGGACGCGAGGCGCUCGAGCGACAUCGAUGGUGGCGAUGGGGUAAGAUCUGUGGCACGUGUUCGGCAGUCAUGCUCCUCUUUCCCUUGCCCUGCGCCAAGGGAUGGCAAAGAGGAGGAGGCUACUUCGUGGAUGGGCAAUGGUGUAUGGUGGCUGUGCUGAUGGUGCGCGUGAGGGGAUUGAGGCCACGAGCGACGGUUCCAGGCCUCCAGCACGAGGCACUGCCUCCGUAACCUAAUGCCUCCCUCCGUGUCUCCUUGAUCGGCACACCACACCAUCGUAGGCCUCCCCUCGCCUCUCCCAUCCGCUAGCGCACAAGCACAACGGCAGGCACCUCCGGAUCCUAUCUCCCUUCCCUCGUCCGGACGGUAGGUGUCCAAAUUUUCUGAGAGCUGAGAUAGGCGGCCAUGGGAGUCGAUGCUCAAAGUGAACUUGGGGAGCCGGAUUUCCUCCCUGGUCCGGUUGAUUGUUUUGGGCCUGAUGAUGAUGACGUUUUUCAGCUGACAUGAACAUGGUGUUCUUGAUGUGGAUGAUGUAGCAGGCAAUGGCCACACCGGCCAAGGGUCACAUGAGCAAGUGAACCAGACACUCCUACUGGGGACGGCUCAGAUGCUAGAAGACAUAUGUUAUCAUAUUAUAGGCUCAUCUUCGCUGUUAUAAGUACCACACACAACAUAUGACAUCUCAUAUUACGCCUACACAGGCAAUUAUAACAUGUGUUCCUAAUAUCAUAUGUGCCAAGAACACAAACAGUAGUAGAUAUGGGACUUGCUGUGUCCAAAGCACUGUCCAUUUUUGCGAAAAGGAGUCCCUCAAGAAUCCUCUGAAUAUAAUCUCUUACUGUAUCGAUUCCUUUUUUACUGCUAUCAUAAAAUAAAGUCUGUAGCUACAGUUGCUUGAGUACAGCUCAUGUUUCAGUUAUGGACAUGUGGUUUAUGCGUCUUGGCCAUGUUCUAAAAUUCUAGGGAUGUAAAAAGUGAUCAUCAUAACCAAAUUUCUCAUCUAUGAAAGUUAAGUUAAUCUAUACCCAUGUGACGUUCUUAACCUAAUAUUCUUAGCACUUAAUUUGUAGGCCAGCAGUCAUAUACCCUAGAAAGUUUAUUCAUGGUGCAUUACAACAAUUUUUAUGUAGUAGGUAGUACAGUAGUAGUAUCUUAUCUUUGCAUAUGUUCUAUCUGAAACCAAUUUGUCAGUAUGUAUGUUUUCCUAUGAUUACAUCUCUAAUUAGUGUACUUUCUUAAAUAAUUUAUCUGCUAAUGUUUAUCCCUUUUUUGUGAGCAGACAUGUCUUCGUGAUCAUCUGUACAUAUGCUAAUGGCAGCUUUAGCAUUGCAAAUCAACCUUUAUAUUUGUAUCAUUAAUUUGCAGUGCAUAGUUUGUGAUUUAAUCAUUCACCCAACUGGUAGGAUCUGAAUCCGGAGGACUCCAUACCAUGGCAUUUAAUCUUCUUACAUGUUGGAAUUUUCAUGCAACAACUGAUGGUAAAGAUUGUGUGGCUAAAUUGGUCGUACUCACAUGAACAAUUAGUUGCACCUUUUGUCUUCUGGCUCCUAAAAUUGACGUCUAGAGAUGAUACCCAAAUUUUGUAGGCUGACAAAAAACGUUAUAGUUUAAUUGAAGGGAGAAUGGAAAUUUCAAUAUUGGCAUCCGUAUAUAAAGCCUUCUAUGUCUUUUUUUAAGGUCACAAACAAGAAAACAUGCAGUCAUCUAUGCUGAUGCUACACGAUUGACGCUUGUGGCCGCCGGCUGGGGGCUGUUCAGGAAAACGAAAAUGGUGGCGUGCAAGGACAACCAAGGAGAUCACAUCCACCUACUUUUGGCUGUUUGUGUCUCUCUUCUCUGGCGAGUCAUUCCAAUCAUUCCGUUGGGGCUCUGCAUCCCAUCUGAAUGGGUACAUUACCCAUCCAGAAUCAGCCAUCAGCUCUGCUCCGAUACCAACAAAAGCAGUGUGGUAGUCCAUCGCUGAAUUGUAUUGUCCUUUGCUUCUGGGUAUAGAACUACAUAUCACAUGGACCUCUCCCUGGAAGCAAGCAAUCAUCUUUGACUCGUGAGUUCUUCUCUCAUGGAUGAGCGACCACCUGAAGGUGCUUCGGUAUAGUUCUUCCAUUCUUCAAUGAAAUAUUACAUUGACUUUCCAUGGCCUGGAAGAAAAAGACUGUAGUUAAUUUCUGUGGUUGAGAUAAUUACUACAAAAGGUGUUGGUCUUUUGGUCAGGCUGCAGAUUUGGCUAUUUAUGUAUGUUAUUUUAUAAAUUGUAUCUGGUGUUUGCAAAUAGUUGACAUGUUGGCAUUUUUCUAAGACACAUGAAGUGGAGUUUUGACC